AUGUACUGUCUGCCCAUCUGCAGUGAACUGCCUUUUUUACAGGCGGUAAGCUCUGGUACCCAUUUCACCAUUCUCCACCCUGUCCUGAGAAGCCACUUCACAGGUGCCCUCUCUACUCUCUGGGUGCCCCUCCUCAACCCCAACCCCACCUGGCCAACUUCUCUCCAGCCGACACGCAACGUGCAGCCUCAGCUCCUCCGGGAGUUUCCUCCUUGCCCGGUGAAGCCUCCGGGCACCUGCCAGGCUCAGGACCCACCCUCCACCCCCAUCCUUCCAGUCCUCAGUGCUCGGCCACCUCCUCCCCACCCCUUCCACCACGCGCCAGGGCGCAGACAGCGACCCUGGUGUGGCGCCCCCGCUCGCCCGCCCGCGUCCCCACCCCCCGGAGCCCCCUGCGUGGACCGCGCCCCCGCGCGUGGGAGCUGCUGGGCUGCCCCGCUCGCCCCCCGCCACGCCCCUACCCUCGGCCCCCCCGCCCCGCCCGGCUGCUCGGCUCCCGCGGGCCGGAAGGCCAGGCCAAGCGCAGCCGCCCCACAGCACGCGGGAGCCGGAGCGGGAGCGGGAGCGGGAGCGGGAGGGGACGCGGUGCCCAGCGGCGGCCGCCCGCAGCCCUCGGCUCCCAUUUCAUCCGCCCGGCUCCGCGCCUCUGGCUGCGCUCGGCAGAUGCAGGCGAUUUUUAAAACGCGGAGGGGCGAGGGGUUUAUCCUUCGCGACCUCGGGGCCUCAGCCGGGGCGGGCGGGGGGCGCGGGCUGCGGAGGUGCCCCCCUCGCGCCCCGGGCUUGGGGUCCGGCCGCGCGGGGCGAUGCCAGCCGGCGUUCUCGGCGGACCCGCGGGCCGCGCGGCACAAAGGGGCGGGGGCGGGGCUUCGGCGGGGCCGCGGGGGCGGGGCCUGGGCGCGGGGGGCGGGGCCCCGCCUCCCCCUGGGCCCGCCGCCGACCCGCGCAGACACAAUAGCCGGCGUUUCCGGUGCCGCGGGCCCCGCGCUCGCUACUCCGCACAGCCUGGGGCGCGGGGGCGCUUCACGGAGCCACGAGGCGAUAUCGAUUUCAUCGAUUUUACACAAAGUCGGUUUCAGCGCAGACAUGCCUUUGGCAAGGAAACGCGCCCGCGAGGCCCGGACACCCCUGCGCGGGGGUCCCCGGCCGCAGUCACCCCCCCCCGCCCCGGCUGCAAGCUCCGCGCGCGGCGGCCACCGGAGGGCGCCCUGA
rnacentral:lncRNA from 1 species